rnacentral:rRNA from 1 species
UAUUAGUUAUGGACUUAAAAGUUAAAGAUUUUGGCGGUAGUUUAGUCUAUUCAGAGGAACCUGUCCUGUAAUUGAUGGUACACGAUUAUUCCUACUUGUUUUAAUUAGCUUGUAUAUCGUCGUAGUUGAGUAUUUUAUUAGAAUGUUUAAUAUUCAUGAUUCAAUAUUUUGGAUUAAAUCAGAUCAAGGUGCAGCUUAUAAACAAGAAGAGAUGGGUUACAAUAAAUUAAUUUAUUUACGGAUUAUGUUUUUUUUUAUUUUGUAUGAAGGUGGAUUUGAAAGUAAUGAUUUAUAUAUAUUUAUCAUGAUUUUA